rnacentral:rRNA from 1 species
CCUACGGGAGGCAGCAGUGAGGAAUAUUGCGCAAUGGAGGCAACUCUGACGCAGCCAUGCCGCGUGCAGGAAGAAGGCGCUACGCGUUGUAAACUGCUUUUAACCGGGAAGAAACCCCCAGACGUGUCUGGGGUUGACGGUACCGGAGGGAUAAGCACCGGCUAACUUCGUGCCAGCAGCCGCGGUAAUACGAAGGGUGCAAGCGUUAUCCGGAUUCAUUGGGUUUAAAGGGUGCGUAGGUGGGGCGAUAAGUCAGUGGUGAAAUCCUGCGGCUUAACCGUAGAAUUGCCAUUGAUACUGUCGCUCUUGAGUACGCUUGACGUGGGCGGAAUGUGCCGUGUAGCGGUGAAAUGCUUAGAUAUGGCACAGAACACCGAUAGUGAAGACAGCUCACGAAGGCGAAACUGACACUGAGGCACGAAAGCGUGGGGAUCGAACAGGAUUAGAUACCCUGGUAGUCCACGCCGUAAACGAUGAUCACUCGUGAUUGGCGAUAUACGGUCAGUCACCUAGCGAAAGCGUUAAGUGAUCCACCUGGGGAGUACGAUCGCAAGAUUGAAACUCAAAGGAAUUGACGG